rnacentral:lncRNA from 1 species
UUUUCACUUCUUUGUGCCUCUUUCACCAUUUAUUUGUGUGCAUACUCAGCAUAUUUGUUUGUGUAACAGGAUGUUAAAAAUAGAAUUUGUUACCUGUAGUUUUUGCUAAAGCUCUACUAGAGUGGAACAGAACAAUAGGUGGUAAAUACUCCAUUCCUCAGUGAGAUGCUACCUACCUAUGCAGAGCUGGAAAAGAUUUUGCAACCUGAAAACCCAAUCCUUUCUGAGAUAUAAAAGAACAGAAGAGUCUGGAAGUGAUUUCUUUGGAGAAAUUCAUUUUCUUAUUCCAGAGAAGAAACUUCAAGCUCAGAAUAUUGGCUACUACCUGUGAUAAACAUUUAAAUUAUUGGAACGAGAGAGUUUUUAUAACUAAAUUUGAAAGAAGCAAUUUUUUUUAAUCAAAGACCAACCCGAAGAUUCAUGACCACUACCUGUGAUUUCAUCCAUGUUGCAAGGAAAAUCCUGCCCCACUUCCCCAAUAGGAAGAGUGGUGGGGGAAUAAUAAAGUUGUUUUAUGAUGCAUCCUAUGGACCUCUACUCGACAGAAUGGUAACAUUCAACUGUAAUCAGGAUGAGCAAGCCACUUUAUUAAACUAAAAUUUUAAACUUUAAUAAAUAUAAUACAAACUGAAAAAUAAAAAUAAUUUUUCAACUCUACACAAGUAUGUUAACUGCAUAAACAGUGAGAUGUUACACAGGGCUGAGGCCUAUACUUCUUCAGUUUGUACAUUAAACGUCUCCAUGGAGGGUCAAUUGCAUCCUACCUAUUCUGACAGUUAUCAGGUAGCGAGAGAUUUGAGGAAGAGGCGCUUUUCUAAUCUGGGGUAGGAAAAGGAAUGAUACCAUGUAUCAUGAGAAGUAUUUGCACAUAGUGUGUCAAUUAAGCAAGUGCUCAGACUAUUAACAACAUUACUAUGUGAUGAAUGUUUAUACAGUGGAUUCAAAAAUAAGCUUCUUUCCAGAAAGCAGCUUAGUUUUCAUUAAUUAUUACCAGCAUCUUGGUAAUUAUUUAUUUAAUGGUUUAAAAGUUAAAGUUUCAAUCUAUAUUUGUUUUUUUAACAUCAGCCAAGGAAAUACAUGUCUGUUAUACUGCAUCUUUGGAAGUAUGCAAUAAGUGUAACUAUUGAAUCUAUAUUGAAGAGCCACAAGACACUGAAUUUAACUGGACGAGACUAUUUUAUUUAGGAAGACAAUCAUCUCCUGUGAUCAGCUUAAGGUUUUUGUUUUGUAUUAUCUGGAACAAGCUAAGUUCAUAUUUAGAAAAUAAAGUUAGUUUUUUGGGUGCAUGAGUUUUAGAGUAAAUUAGUAAUUUAGUAAACUUUGACAUUUCCACUUUGUCUCCAAACACAUUUAAAUUCUAUCUGUCUGACUGAAGUUCUAAGGCAUUCUGUGGUUACUUAGAAAUGAUUCCUUAUAUUAAUGUUUACAAAUGCUAAAUUGUAUUUGUUAAAUACAUGUCUUAUUGCAUAAGAGUUUUCCUUUCUUAUAAGUUUAAUAUAAAUGUCUAGGAAAUAAGACUCCCAUUUAAUAGCUUAUAAAGAAUGCUGAUGUAUCAGCAGUGGCCUUGACAUUAUUGGAUACAAGUAAGAUCUACACUGAUGAUUAAAUCAAAUUGGCUAAGAUUAUUCGUUCUAAUAAAAGCACUGACUCCAUGAA